GUCGAGGACUGGGGUUGGUGCGCCAAACCCCUUUGAAGCCUCCACAUACUAUUCCUUUUCUUCCUUUCCUUUGCUCUCUCUCUCUCUCUCUAAAGCUUCUUCUUGGAUCCUAAUCUUUAAUCUCCAAAUCCCCCAAUCUUAAUCUCUCUAACCCAUGUAAAUACUUCCGCUUGAAUUUUUCUCCAAUCACUAUCUGGUCUUCUUCUUCCUCCAGAUUUAAACUAUUAAUCCGUUUUCGUGGUACAAGUUUUUUUUUUUUAAUAUAUGGUUGAUGCUUGAUAUGUGCUUUUGCUUCGUUUCCUAGAUUGCAUUGAAGCAGUUUUUUGCACUUUCGAAUCCAAAUCCUUAUCUGGGUCUUAUUCAGAACCCCGACUUUUUUUUUCCCCUUCCGAGCAAUCCACGACUGUGUGUUUGCAGGUAGUGAGUUUGGAUUGCUUUUCUCUCUCUUUCUCCGUCUUCGCAGCAUUUUUGUUAGUGCUUGAGUUGGUUUUCGAUUAUGUUGAUCAUUCCUUUCUAGUAGUUGCCUACUUGUUCUUUUAACUAUGUAGUGUUUAUGGUACUAAUCCCCCCUCCCCCGCUCUUCGUUUUAUUCGCACUUUCCUUUUCCAAUACAUAUAUUUGCUGUAGAGAUUCGGUUGUCAUCAGUGAAUGUGUUGGUUGAUUUCUUGUUGAUUGUUUGUGGCAUUUGCUUUCGUCGCUGGUUUUAUUUUGGUAAUGUUCAAUGGUUUUCAUGUAUCUUUUAGGGACCAAUGGGGAAAAAAGUCAAGAAAAGGAGCCGUUCAUUGCAGAAGGAGAAGCGGGUUACAGCCCCUUCUCCUAAAAUUGCACCUCAGCAAAUCAAUCCUAGUGUUGAUGCCAUUGAUGAUGGAGUUACAGUACCAAAAGAGAGAAAACCAUGUGCCCACCUCAACAAGGGUUUUAAUCUAAACAGUUUGUCUGAGAAACUUGGGUCUUCAGAUCCUUUAAUGUGUGAGGAUUGUAACGAAGGUGUGGCUGAUAAGAGAGGGGUAAGGGGGAAAGGCAAACAUGGCAAGAAGAAAGCGUCAGUCGAUUCAAAAUCUGAGCCCAAAUCCAUUUGGGUGUGUUUAGAAUGUGGGCAUUAUGCCUGUGGAGGGGUUGGUUUACCAACAAUCCCUCAUAGCCAUGCAGUUCGGCAUGCUAGACAAACCCGUCAUCCAUUGGUGAUCCAAUGGGAAAACCCUCAUCUCCGUUGGUGCUUCCAAUGUAGUACGCUAAUUCCAGUUGAGAAAACAGAAGAAAAUGGUGAAAAGAAAGAUUCAUUAUUUGAUGCUGUCAAAUUAAUCAAGACACGAUCAUUGGGGAAGUCAUCAGUGGAUGUUGAAAAUGUUUGGUUUGGAGGUGGCAGUGUUGCAAGUGAAAUCAAAGAAGAAGGCACUCUAUCAAGCAGCUUAGAGAGAAGAGGCCAUUACAUGGUAAGAGGCUUGGUUAAUCUUGGGAACACUUGCUUCUUUAAUUCUGUAAUGCAGAAUCUAUUAGGUAUGAACAAGUUGCGAGAUUUCUUUUUGGAUCAAGAUGCAUCUUUUGGGCCACUCACUAUUGCUUUGAAAAAGCUCUAUGAUGAAACGAAACCUGAGACUGGUUUAAAGAAUGUUAUCAACCCAAGAUCCUUUUUUGGGUGUAUCUGUUCGAAAGCUCCUCAGUUUAGGGGAUUCCAGCAGCAAGACAGUCAUGAAUUGUUGCGUUGUUUACUUGAUGGGCUGUCAUCUGAAGAGUUGGCUGUGAGAAAACAAAUAAAUACUUUAAAGGAUGAUGAAAUUUCCUUGAAACAUGGCCCUACAUUUAUGGAUUCUCUAUUCGGGGGCCAAAUUGCAAGUACUGUUUCUUGUAUUGAAUGCAACCACUCCUCAACUGUGUAUGAGCCAUUUUUAGAUCUCUCCCUCCCAGUUCCCACCAAGAAGCCUCCAACUAAGAAGGUCCAACCAGUCUCUAGACCAAAGAAAACAAAGCUGCCACCAAAGAGAGGGGGAAGGAUGCGAGGAAAAGCUGACAAAGACACAGAUUCUGUGUCAGCACAAAGUAUUUCAGACCCCUCAACUAGCAAUGAGUAUUCUGACCGAACACAUGCGACUGUACCUCAUGGAGAAAACGUGGUGGCUUCUUCAGGUGAUGCUGCAGGAUCAGAUUCUGUUUGCUUACCUACUGUGUCUGAUAAAAGUGGUUUACCAUCAGAGAGUUUCUCAGCUGCUCCAAAUAUUGAAAAUGAGCAAGCUGUUGAGGCUACACUGGAGCAAACUGCAGCUUCAUACGAGGACUUCACCUGGAUGGAUUAUCUUGAACCAGAAACUAUAUCAGAUGAGCAUGAUUUCACUUCACAAAGUAAUGAUGUCUCAACUAGUCACUAUUCUGGAAAUAUGAUUCCAAAUGAUGACUUAAUGGAAAAGAGUCAAGUAUGUUCUGUUGAUAGGGAGCCAGAUUUAAAACCAGAUUCUUCUUCUGUGAAUUGUUGGGAAGCGGAGGUCCCAUUAGUGGUUAGAAGCUCAGAAGUUCUGCUGCUUCCAUACAAGGAGGAGAGUUUUACUGAUGGGGAGAUAAUUAAAGUAGAAGCUGAGGCUUCCUCCAGUGUUGUGGGCUGUGGACAAGAUGAAGCAGACUUUGAUGGAUUUGGCAAUCUAUUCAACGAGCCUGAGGUCUCUCCAGGAUCUGUUGCGGGGCCUUCCUUAGACAAUGAAACUGCAGGAACUGGUUUUACAGCAGGAAACAGCAGUGAGUCUGAUCCAGACGAAGUUGGUAAUAGUGAUUCUCCAGCGUCUGUUGAGAGUUUUUUGGCUCAUUUUAUAAAGCCGGAGCUUCUUUCUAAUGACAAUGCUUGGGAAUGCGAGAGCUGUUCAAAAACCCUACAAAGGUUGGAAGCCAAGAAGAUGCAAUGUAAAACUGUAUUACAAACUAUGAUAAAUGGAGGUCAUACUCAAUCCCAAAGCCACCUACCAAAUUUAGACAAAGAUGUCUUAUGUUCUACAGAAGUCAGAGAUCUUCAAAAUGGAGAUAUUAGUACCAGUAGUUUUCUUAACUCCACAGGUGAAGGCUUCGAUUUGGAUAAUGGAAAAUUUGAUUUCUCUAAUCAAAAUUGCAUAGAAACUGAAAUAAUUCAAAUGAACAAGCUAAAACCAAUUGUUUCUCAAAGUGAAGAACGGAAGGGUGAGAUGACUGCUGCUCUUGUCGCGCAAUCCUAUUCUUCUGCUCACUAUGAAUCAUGUAGUCAAGGGAGUUUCAGUUGUCAAAUUUUUUAUUCUUCUAGAGUUGAUGAGCCAAGUAGCACUGGGUAUGCAACUGUUAAAGAUCAGCCGGAUUAUUCCCAGCUCUCUGGAAAUGGUGCAGCUGAGGAAGAUGAAGAUGAGGAGAAAACGUCCAGAAAAGUGAAAGUGAAGAGGGACGCAACUAAGAGAGUCCUCAUUGAUAAAGCCCCACCGAUUUUGACCAUUCAUCUAAAGAGGUUCAUCCAAGAUGUCCGUGGUCAUUUAAGUAAAUUGAAUGGCCAUGUCAAUUUUGGAGAUGUACUUGAUCUUAGGCCUUUUAUGGAUCCCAGAUGUGCGGAGAGAGAAAGAUAUGUAUAUCGUCUGCUUGGGGUAGUGGAGCAUUCAGGAACAAUGAGAGGAGGUCACUAUGUGGCUUAUGUGAGAGGAGGUGAGAGAAGCAAAGGCAAGGCAGAGAAUGAAAAUGGAGGGUUUGUGUGGUAUUAUGCCAGUGAUGUCUAUAUACGUGAGGUUUCCUUGGAAGAAGUUCUUCGUUGCGAGGCCUACAUUUUAUUCUAUGAGAAAAUCUGAUUUUCUGAUAUUAAUUUAUUUUCCCGAUACAUUUGAUUCUUCUUUGAGAUAGUGUGGGGUCAACUAGCAACCCCCCGAGAGAGAGGGAGAGUGAGAGAGAGAGAGGGUGUUAAAUUGAGAAGAGGUGAAUAUACAACUACAACCAUCAUAUAUUUCAUACCCAUUUUUUGACAUGUAAUGAGCUCAAAUACGUACAUUGUGAAAUGACAUUAGAAAAUUCAUUGAAUGGCAUUUGUUGCACCAGCAGUAACCUCAUAUAAUCUGGGGUCAAACACUGAUGGUGCCUUUAUGGAAG
rnacentral:misc_RNA from 1 species